rnacentral:rRNA from 1 species
UACGGGGGGGGCGAGCGUUGUUCGGAAUUACUGGGCGUAAAGGGUUCGUAGGUGGCCGGCUAAGUCAGACGUGAAAUCCCUCAGCUUAACUGGGGAACUGCGUCUGAGACUGGUCGGCUUGAGUGCAGGAGAGGAACGCGGAAUUCCAGGUGUAGCGGUGAAAUGCGUAGAUAUCUGGAGGAACACCGGUGGCGAAGGCGGCGUUCUGGACUGCAACUGACACUGAGGAACGAAAGCCAGGGGAGCAAACGGG